AGCUAUGAGCCAAGAAGAUGGAAAUAUUUGUAUAACUCCUUGGAGAAAGUGGGGUACAGAGUGCUUUUUCUUUUUCCUUCUUUCUUUUUUCUUUUUCCUUUUAAUAAGACUUGGUUGAAUCUUUAUGUCUCUGGAUCCUAUGAAACUCAAAAGGGUACUAGGUAUGCUGAAUGCUCUAAAUUCCAUCGAGUUUCUUGUUCUAUCUCUCCUGUCAUCCCACAGUUGUUAUUAAGGCCUGGGAUCCUGCAGUCACAUUUCAUGUUGGUGAGUCCAUAGAAGGGAAAUUCCUAGGGUCAACUCUUCUCACCAUCUGACUGAUAACAUGUUUGGGUUCUGAGAAGGCUAACUUUUGAGGAUGUUGGAAGAUGAUGAAGAUGAUCUCAUAGUCCCAUACUGUUCACAAGGAGGAACAAAAUCAUCCCAGAAGGAUGCAGAGCCUGGAUAUCGAGGAGAAAGAGGCGGAUCCUGUGGAGGGUUGGUCCAGAGCACGAAAUUGAAUGUGCGAUUUUUACCAUAGUCACACAGAUACUAUUCUGAAGUCAAAUCUUGUUUCUAAAGUGCUAGACCUAUGGUAGAUGCUGAAGAGGAAGUUAUAACACAAGUCCUACCAUAAGGAAGCAUUGUCUUCAGAUAUGAGAUAGGAUCACUCAGGUAGAUUAUUCAAGGUAAUUGCUGACAGCACACAGGUAGUGCCAUAUGAAUGCACAGAAAUUCGUGCAACAGGAAUCAGAGGGUGCUGACAGUGGAGUGGGUACUUAGACUUUGAGUUGAGGGAAGGAUUCAAGUAAGAAAGGGUGUAUUUCUUGGUAGGAAAUGAUGUGAUGAGAGUAUGAAUGUAUACCCUUUUCUAGAAGGAGUACAUGCAGGCCACAUGGCUGGAGCGUUGCCCUAUCUGUGUAGCAG
rnacentral:lncRNA from 1 species